rnacentral:rRNA from 1 species
AUUGAACGCUGGCGGCAUGCCUUACACAUGCAAGUCGAACGGCAGCACGGGAGCAAUCCUGGUGGCGAGUGGCGAACGGGUGAGUAAUAUAUCGGAACGUGCCCAGUCGUGGGGGAUAACGUAGCGAAAGCUACGCUAAUACCGCAUACGAUCUAUGGAUGAAAGCGGGGGAUCGCAAGACCUCGCGCGAUUGGAGCGGCCGAUAUCAGAUUAGGUAGUUGGUGGGGUAAAGGCUCACCAAGCCGACGAUCUGUAGCUGGUCUGAGAGGACGACCGGCCACACUGGGACUGAGACACGGCCCAGACUCCUACGGGAGGCAGCAGUGGGGAAUUUUGGACAAUGGGCGCAAGCCUGAUCCGGCAAUGCCGCGUGCAGGAUGAAGGCCUUCGGGUUGUAAACUGCUUUUGUACGGAGCGAAAAGGCUCUCUCUAAUACAGGGGGCUCAUGACGGUACCGUAAGAAUAAGCACCGGCUAACUACGUGCCAGCAGCCGCGGUAA